ensembl:miRNA
UGCAGUGCCCUAUUUAGAAUGGUACUGAUGUGAUGAAAUGAAAAAUUGAUCAGGGCCUUUCUAAGUAGAGUAAGGCUUA